rnacentral:rRNA from 1 species
UAAAAAAAGGUAAGCUACUAAGAGCGAAUGGUGGAUGCCUUGACUGGUAAAGGCGAUGAAGGACGUACUAGACUGCGAUAAGCUACGGGGAGCUGUCAAGAAGCUUUGAUCCGUAGAUUUCCGAAUGGGGCAACCCAAUGUAUAGAGAUAUACAUUACCUAUAUAGGAGCGAACGAGGGGAAUUGAAACAUCUUAGUACCCUCAGGAAAAGAAAUCAAUAGAGAUUGCGUCAGUAGCGGCGAGCGAAAGCGCAAGAGGGCAAACCCAGUGCUUGCACUGGGGGUUGUAGGACUGCAAUGUGCAAGAGCUGAGUUUAGCAGAACAUUCUGGAAAGUAUAGCCAUAGAGGGUGAUAGUCCCGUAUGCGAAAAACAAAGCUUAGCUAGCAGUAUCCUGAGUAGGGCGGGACACGAGGAAUCCUGUCUGAAUCCGGGUCGACCACGAUCCAACCCUAAAUACUAAUACCAGAUCGAUAGUGCACAAGUACCGUGAGGGAAAGGUGAAAAGAACUGAGGUGAUCAGAGUGAAAUAGAACCUGAAACCAUUUGCUUACAAUCAUUCAGAGCCCUAUGUAGCAAUACAGGGUGAUGGACUGCCUUUUGCAUAAUGAGCCUGCGAGUUGUGGUGUCUGGCAAGGUUAAGCAAACGCGAAGCCGUAGCGAAAGCGAGUCUGAAUAGGGCGCUUAGUCAGAUGCUGCAGACCCGAAACGAAGUGAUCUAUCCAUGAGCAAGUUGAAGCUAGUGUAAGAACUAGUGGAGGACUGAACCCAUAGGCGUUGAAAAGCCCCGGGAUGACUUGUGGAUAGGGGUGAAAGGCCAAUCAAACUUCGUGAUAGCUGGUUCUCUCCGAAAUAUAUUUAGGUAUAGCGUUGUGUCGUAAUAUAAGGGGGUAGAGCACUGAAUGGGCUAGGGCAUACACCAAUGUACCAAACCCUAUCAAACUCCGAAUACCUUAUAUGUAAUCACAGCAGUCAGGCGGCGAGUGAUAAAAUCCGUCGUCAAGAGGGAAACAACCCAGACUACCAGCUAAGGUCCCUAAGUCUUACUUAAGUGGAAAACGAUGUGAAGUUACUUAAACAACCAGGAGGUUGGCUUAGAAGCAGCCAUCCUUUAAAGAAAGCGUAAUAGCUCACUGGUCUAGUGAUUUUGCGCGGAAAAUAUAACGGGGCUAAAGU